GCCUCCUUGGCUCAGUUGGCUAGAGCGCAGGUCUCAUAUGUUGAGUAUGACCGUGUUUAACAUGGGUAAUCCUGAGGGUCGCCAAGUUCGAGCCUUGCAGGGGGCA